rnacentral:rRNA from 1 species
UACGAAGGGGGCUAGCGUUGCUCGGAAUCACUGGGCGUAAAGGGUGCGUAGGCGGGUCUUUAAGUCAGGGGUGAAAUCCUGGAGCUCAACUCCAGAACUGCCUUUGAUACUGAGGAUCUUGAGUUCGGGAGAGGUGAGUGGAACUGCGAGUGUAGAGGUGAAAAUUCGUAGAUAUUCGCAAGAACACCAGUGGCGAAGGCGGCUCACUGGCCCGAUACUGACGCUGAGGCACGAAAGCGUG